UGUCUUGCUGUCUAUGCCCAUUCUUGAACUUCAACUAAAUGGAUUCACAAAACAAGUUAUGAUUUUUUAAUACCUUUAUUUUAUUUAUUCGUUUUUAGGUGGUGCUGAGGGUCUGCCUCCUUUGUCUCAUCUUAUGUCUGUGGGAUUCCUUCAAGUUGCUGCAUGUAGAAGUCGAUCGUUCUGUUUUAUUGCUGAGUAGUAUCCCAUUACGUGACCAUAUCCCGACAUGAUCUUUUCUGCUGUGGAUGGACCUCUGCUGUGCUUCCCGUUUGGGACCACUAUGAAAAAGCCUGCUCUGAUCAUUCUCGCCCAUAUUUUGGGGGUAUGUGCACUUGAUUCUCUUGCGGAAUACCUAGCUGGGAGUGGAGUCGCUGGUUUAUAAUUUGUUUCUUAUGGAAACAUUUGAAGGGAUUUGCAGGGGUUUUUUUGUUUUGUUUCUGGCCUGGCCAUGAGAGCUGAGGCCGCUGAAGGAGCAGUGGAAUAUGUGUAGAACGGUGAGAAGGACAAACAGUCCAUUGGGCAGGAACAUCCCUCCCUGGAAGGGGCAGCAGCCAGAGGCUGGCCUGAAGAGCCACAGACUGUGGGAAGGUGGUUCUGCCUAAUCCCUGCUCUGGACAGGGCAUUUCAAGGUUGGUGUGUCAGUAACCUGUUGACCCGUGCCUUGUGCCUGGUGAGUUAGGGGGAGUAUGUCACAUCCCUGGAGCAGCGGAUGGGCUCAGUCGGCUCCGGCCAGGGCCUACCUGGAGGACUUUGAGUUUUGGGGAAUUAGCCCUGAUCAGCAGGAAUUCAGGAGCGAAUCAACAACCCCCUGUCACAGCAGGACCAGCGUGUCUUCUGAGCUCAGCUUGUGGCUCCACCAGGGCCAGCAAAUCAGAUUCCGAAGGCAGAGGGGACAGAAAUCCCCAAGUGAUCAGCUGGACACGGCUCUCUCUUAGUGUCCUGCCAUGCUGGAGGCCACAUGUGAAACCAGAUGUCACCGGAGGCAGACUGCAGCUGAAAAGGCCAUUGGGUUUACCCCAUCGCUCCCGUGGCAUCAAUCAUAGUCCUUUUCCUCAGACAAGAGCAGCAGGAGAAAGUGGAAAGCCCCUGUCACAACGAUCCACACCAGCUGUGCAGAUUCCCUCCCCCCACUGUGUGCUCAUUGCUAAAACAGGGCCCACUGACCUGUGCUUAUGUCCCGCACUUAAAAAAUCACGUAAUAGCUCACUGGAGAGAGUAAAUACACGAAAGACGGCAUUAUACCUGAGAGGUCACUUACGGUCACAAUGAGGGAAUGACCAAUAAAGUGGCCUUGGACAUGAGGGCUGCCCAGCCAGGACGGGUCCCUUCCUUGGGCCUCAUUGCUGCCCCCUUCCCAGGCAGAGAACAGAUGGCAGGGACACAGGGGUGACCCCCGUGGUGGAGAAUAAGCACAGAAACCUUGCCCCGUGCAGGGCACUGAGGCAGUGGGUGAGCCGUGCCCGACUGGGGAAGGAAGAGUUUCUCUGGGGGCUCAACAGUGGCAGAGGUCUCAGUCCACAGAAGGCCAGCACCAUUCCUUGGGGCUGAAGAUGAGAAACCUGAAGAAACCUGAGAAAUCUGGAAGGGCCUGGUCACAGAGUGAGUGACUCCAAGACCUGUUUUCUUCGUUUAGCACCAGAAGAACAAGAAAGCUCAGACGCUGGGCCUACGCAUCACCAGCUGAGGUCUCUCCCCAGCCCACCGGGCAUAGGGAGCCUUACUCCAAAGUCAGUACCUGCCCACAAAUUGCUGUCUGUCUCUGAGAAGUGAGAGAACUGAGAAGUAGACCUUCAGAAAUGUUUUAGCAACUUGACGGAAUAAUUUUUUGCCUGUAAACAUUAAUAAAAAAAAUCUGAGCUAAAAUA